GACAGAGGCCUCAAGCGUUAGGCGGAAUCACUGGGCUUAAAGCGUGUGUAGGCGGGUCGUUAAGUACCUUGUGAAAUCCCACGGCUCACCCGUGGAACGGCUGGGGAUACUGGCGAUCUUGGGCCAACUAGGGGCGACUGGAACAAGCGGUGGAGCGGUGAAAUGCGUAGAUAUCGCUUGGAACGCCGAAGGUGAAAACAGGUCGCUGGGGUUGUGCCGACGCUGAGACACGAAAGCCAGGGGAGCAAACGGG
rnacentral:rRNA from 1 species